UUUUGAGUUUUCUACACCUAGACCAUGAGUUAGAUUGUUCUCUAUUUUGGAUUUGGCUUUGUUUGGAGUGUUCAUUUACAGGAGGCAUCAACUCGUGCUCGGAUAAUCAUGAGGGUCCAUUGCUUAGUGAAAACCAAAAGGAGUCAUAGAGCUCGAAGUGUUAUACCUGGACAACGAGAAAGUUCCCUCAACUUAUAGCGUGGCAGAGGAGGCCACCAUACCCAUCAAAAAUAACGAUGUUGUUAACACAAAGAGGCAAUAAUCGACACACAUUCGAUUUCAUGUAGCAUCUAGUACGACUCCAUACACCAAGGAGAGGAAAAAAAGAGUAAAGAAAUAGUGUGACGAAAUUUGUCAAUACUACACAAGAAUUGAUUUGUGUACUAAAUGACUCCAUAUUGCUCCCCUCCAAGAAUGUGGGUAUAAACAUGAUUUGGUGGUUGCAUCCACAUGUGGUUACACAUUUUAUCAUUUCUCAUACUUGUUGAAUUGUUCAAAUAGGACGAGAAAAAUUGUUGAGUUAUGUAUUGUAGUUUUGUCAAGGAUAAAUAUA